rnacentral:lncRNA from 10 species
UUCCUCUCCAUAAAAAUAGUUAUGGAAUGUGUUUCCCAAGAAGCAAGUCUGGAUUCAUCUUAUGUACACUCCUGGCCUGUCUCUGAAAUUCGGGGAUCUGCUCAGCAGACCGGAACAACCCAGGAGGCAUCUGGGCUCUGGAAGGAAAUACAAGCCAGCCAGUUCCAGCAGCUUUUUCCCAAAGCCUGGAGCAGGCUCUGCUCUGUAGCUACUAGCAUUUUUACGACAGUAACCUGAGGCCACUCAUCUUAGGUCUGAUUGAUGAGUAGGUCAGAAAUCAUCCCAGCGUGGAACCCUCCUUGACUCACGCUGUCUGGGUGAACACACAGACCCAUUCCACUGUUUCCUGGCCAGCUUGACUUCACUCUUCUUAUUUUUCUUGGGCUAAGAAAAGACAUUCUUUGCUGGAUAUAAAUAUCAUGCAUUUCAGAAAGUUCAUAUGUACAAAUAACAUGGAUUCGGGAUCAUUACAGUUGUUAAUUUUAGUAAAAUAAUUUUUUUCUUUGGCUUGCUUCUUGAAUUCUUUAGUGAUCUUGGACAUACAAACACA